rnacentral:lncRNA from 1 species
UGUGUUAUCACCAAUCUCUAUCGUUGUGAGUGGCCUUUGGCUUCAUAUAGACUCGUAUGGCUUAUAUUGUAUGUACUUGUAGUUCUUGCAUUUUAUGGACAUUUGGCUCCACUCUUUAAAAGAGGGAUGUGUGUGUCUGUAAGGGCAGCUGUGGUCAGGGAACACAUGCUCUGCAUUCAGAAGGUCACUAAGGGCGGAUAAUCUUCUGGAGACAGAAAUAAAGGAGCAAAAUUGUAGUCUGUGAAGCUUUGCAGUGGGUUACAGCAGUGCCGGAUUUACAUAUAAGGUGGCAGAAUGGAUCCAUCAUCAUAACCUUUGAAAUACCAACUACUGCAGCUCAGAAGCUGGAGUUUACUGCAGUGCUAUUUGUAGCAAAGAAUGGAUCUGUGGCUCAGAUGGACAAGAAAUGGCUUAUCUGCCAACAGAGAUACAAAACCAACAAAUUGUAAGUUUGCAUAAAGGAAUACAAUGAAGUAUAUCAAUAACGGAAUCCCAGGAUGGUGCCUAUAUCUGUGAAUAUUUGUUGCAUUGGCAGGUGUGAAACAGAAGUUCAUUCAUAUUGAUUUAAAGCUUUUUCCACCAGAUAUCAUUAGGAGGUUGAGAUAAUGAUUGAAUUCAAGCAGUCAGCAUUGGCCUCUGAAGCCAUUGGAGACUAAACUUAUGGGGGGCUGUGCAUAUCCCAAAAUUCUGCAUUAGUGCAGGAAAAACAAACCCAAACAUGGAUUUUGGUACUGAGUGUGCAGAAUUAAACAUCCUGGGAAUUUCAGUGUUUUUAUAACAAGCAAGUUUCUAGUCCUUAGUGGGAGUGAUGAUAGGAUUGUCUGUAAGUGGGCAGGAGCUGCUGAAAUCUCCAGGUUAGAGCAGCAGAGCUUCAGUGCCGGGUGCAGUCCUUUUUUUCCCUCCUUGUGAAGCAAAAUAAAUAGUGCAAAGCACAUCAGUAUAUAGAAAUAUGCUUAGAAUUCAGGAUAACGUGGUAGAUAAUUUUGAGUUUUGGAGAUGGCACAGCCCUGAAAAUGCCUACCAGCCUUCCAUGUUACUUUAUGCACAGAGGACCUAGGAAAAAGAUCCUUUAAAAUUAUCAAGGAUCCAAUAUCCCACACAAACUCCAACCCAUGAGCUUUAGGAAAAGAGGUAGAGGAAGUAUGUGCCUUCCUGUGGCUAGGUGAACUGAGGCUGCAGCCAUAUUUGCAUUUAUGUGAAAACUA